rnacentral:tRNA from 3 species
GCAAUCGUAGCUCAAUUGGAUAGAGCAACGAGCUUCUACCUCGUAGGUUGAGGGUUCGAUUCCUUCCGGUUGCGCCA